UCGCCCUGUUUAUCAAAAACAUCACCUCUUGCUAAAAUCAAAGAAUAAGAGGCCCCGCCUGCCCACUGAUCCUAGUAUUCAACGGCCGCGGUAUUCUGACCGUGCUAAGGUAGCGUAAUCACUUGUCUUUUAAAUGAAGACCCGUAUGAAAGGCUUAACGAGGGCUUAACUGUCUCCUUUUUCCAGUCAAUGAAACUGAUCUCCCCGUGCAGACGCGGGGAUUAAAACAUAAGACGAGAAGACCCUAUGGAGCUUUAGACACUAAAGCAGUCUAUUUUAAACAGCCCUAAACAAGUAAUAAAACUAUUAGUUUAUCCUGCCUCAGUCUUAGGUUGGGGCGACCCUGGGGAAAUACAAAACCCCCAUGUAGAGAGGGGGGACAUACCACCACCCCUAAAAACCCGAAACACAAUUCUAAUCAACAAAACCUCUGACCAAAUUGAUCCGGCCCAAGCCGAUUGACGAAACAAGUUACCCUAGGGAUAACAGCGCUAUCCCCUUUCAAAGUCCAUAUAGACAAGGGGGCUUACGACCUCGAUGUUGGAUCAGGACAUCCUAAUGGUGCAGCCGCUAUUAAGGGUUCGUUUGUUCAACGAUUAAAGUCCUACGUGAUCUGAGUYCMGACCGGA
rnacentral:rRNA from 1 species